UCUUUUGAAAGUGCCUAAACACA
rnacentral:siRNA from 1 species